CUCGCCGACGCAAAUGUGUUUGCUCGACCGUCUUCUCUUCACCGUUACCUCCGUUCCACGCGAACGACUCUACUAUUCUCCCGUCUUCUCUUUUCUGACAAGCACUCAUCUACUACUUCUUCAGUUGCGUUUUUUUUUUGUGUUAAUUUUUAUGAUUGUUGUUGUAUAUAUAUUCUUUUUUGUGCUUACUUGGAUAAGGAAUGGGGCAAUUAGUUUUAGUGCAGGAGAUAAUGAUGACACAGGUAAUGAAGAAGUGACUGAUGAUGGAGCAAACAAAGUUCAUGGACCUGAUGAGAAGACACUUUAGAGCCAGUUUUUGGUUUAAUGUCAGUUAAAAUUUUGAACAGAUUAACUUAAACUGAGAAUGCAGUCUUAAUUAUAUAGUUGAAGCAACACAUCUGUAUUAUUUAUCUUUGUACUGGUGUUUAUGAAUGAAAUUCAUUUUAUGUCA